rnacentral:rRNA from 1 species
AGCGAACGCUGGCGGCAGGCCUAACACAUGCAAGUCGAACGAAGUCUUCGGACUUAGUGGCGGACGGGUGAGUAACACGUGGGAACGUGCCUUUAGGUUCGGAAUAACUCAGGGAAACUUGUGCUAAUACCGAAUGUGCCCUUCGGGGGAAAGAUUUAUCGCCUUUAGAGCGGCCCGCGUCUGAUUAGCUAGUUGGUGAGGUAAAGGCUCACCAAGGCUACGAUCAGUAGCUGGUCUGAGAGGAUGACCAGCCACAUUGGAACUGAGACACGGCCCAAACUCCUACGGGAGGCAGCAGUGGGGAAUCUUGCGCAAUGGGCGAAAGCCUGACGCAGCCAUGCCGCGUGGAUGAUGAAGGUCUUAUGAUUGUAAAAUCCUUUCACCGGUGAAGAUAAUGACUGUAGCCGGAGAAGAAGCCCCGGCUAACUUCGUGCCAGCAGCCGCCGUAAAAC